rnacentral:rRNA from 1 species
UACGUAGGGGGCGAGCGUUGUCCGGAUUUAUUGGGCGUAAAGAGCGUGUAGGCGGCCAGGUAGGUCCGUUGUGAAAACUCGAGGCUCAACCUCGAGACGUCGAUGGAAACCAUCUGGCUAGAGUCCGGAAGAGGAGAGUGGAAUUCCUGGUGUAGCGGUGAAAUGCGCAGAUAUCAGGAAGAACACCCGUGGCGAAGGCGGCUCUCUGGGACGGUACUGACGCUGAGACGCGAAAGCGUGGGGAGCAAACAGG